rnacentral:rRNA from 1 species
UACGGAGGGUGCAAGCGUUAUCCGGAUUCACUGGGUUUAAAGGGCGCGUAGGUGGGUUGGUAAGUCAGUGGUGAAAUCUCCGAGCUUAACUUGGAAACUGCCAUUGAUACUAUUAGUCUUGAAUACUGUGGAGGUUAGCGGAAUAUGUCAUGUAGCGGUGAAAUGCUUAGAUAUGACAUAGAACACCAAUUGCGAAGGCAGCUGGCUACACUAAUAUUGACGCUGAGGCACGAAAGCGUGGGGAUCAAACAGG